rnacentral:rRNA from 1 species
GUGGGGAAUAUUGGACAAUGGGCGCAAGCCUGAUCCAGCCAUGCCGCGUGAGUGAUGAAGGCCCUAGGGUUGUAAAGCUCUUUCAGUGGGGACGAUAAUGACGGUACCCACAGAAGAAGCCCCGGCUAACUUCGUGCCAGCAGCCGCGGUAAUACGAAGGGGGCUAGCGUUGUUCGGAUUUACUGGGCGUAAAGCGCACGUAGGCGGAUCGUUAAGUCGAGGGUGAAAUCCUGGAGCUCAACUCCAGAACUGCCGUCGAUACUGGCGAUCUUGAGUCCGGAAGAGGUGAGGGGAACUCCUAGUGUAGAGGUGGAAUUCGUAGAUAUUAGGAAGAACACCAGUGGCGAAGGCGGCUCACUGGUCCGGUACUGACGCUGAGGUGCGAAAGCGUGGGGAGCAAACAGGAUUAGAAACCCGGGUAGUCC